GAUGAACGCUGGCGGCGUGCCUAAUACAUGCAAGUCGAGCGAACGGACGAGAAGCUUGCUUUUCUGAUGUUAGCGGCGGACGGGUGAGUAACACGUGGAUAACCUACCUAUAAGACUGGGAUAACUUCGGGAAACCGGAGCUAAUAUCGGAUAAUAUUUUGAACCGCAUGGUUCAAAAGUGAAAGACGUUCUUGCUGUCUCUUAUAGAUUGAUCCACGCUGGAUUAGCUAGUUGGUAAGGGAACGGCUUACCAAGGCAACGAUGCAUAGCCGACCUGAGAGGGUGAUCGGCCACACUGGAACUGAGACACGGUACAGACUCCUAAGGGAGGCAGCAGUAGGGAAUAUUCCGCAAUGGGCGAAAGCAUGACGGAGCAAAGCCGCGUGAGUGAAGAAGGUCUUCGGAUCGUAAAACUCUGUUAUUAGGGAAGAAAAUAAGUGUAAGAAAAUGUGCACAGAUUGACGGUACCUAAACAGAAAGCAACGGCUAACUACGUG
rnacentral:rRNA from 1 species